CAGUCGCCGCGGUAAUACGUAGGGUGCGAGCGUUAAACGGAAUUACUGGGCGUAAAGCGUGCGCAGGCGGUGAUGUAAGACAGAUGUGAAAUCCCCGGGCUCAACCUGGGAACUGCAUUAGUGACUGCAUCGCUGGAGUGCGGCAGAGGGGGAUGGAAUUCCGCGUGUAGCAGUGAAAUGCGUAGAUAUGCGGAGGAACACCGAUGGCGAAGGCAAUCCCCUGGGCCUGCACUGACGCUCAUGCACGAAAGCGUGGGGAGCAAACAGGAUUAGAUACCCGAGUAGUCCCUGUCUCUUAUAC
rnacentral:rRNA from 1 species